GUCCAGACCCGUUCUAUUUGGACAACUACUAGGAACGCUUCCGUUAAUUACAGUGGUCGAUACCCAUCAAUCAUCAUGUAAACCAUCCUAAAAGCCUUCAAUACUUUAGCAGCGAUAAUCGAUUAUUGGGUUUGCUAAAUUAUUGAUGGGAAUCGGUCUUCUUGAUUUGUGUUGGUUUUUGUUGUGAUUGAAAGCUUGAACAAUCCAACGUUUACAGAAAUUGAUUCCUAAAAUCUUAAAAGAGACAAGGUAAGGGUCUUCAGGUUCUUCUCCUUUAUCUGAGACUCCCUGUUUGAGUGGUGAUGGCGGUGGAGGAGGAGGAACUGCUGCUUUAUCAUCUUCGAUAUUGGCCACCAAAACUCCCAGCACGCUACUCAGUGGUGACUCCAAUUACAUACCUUGUGGAAAUUGAUGUUGUCGUCAAAGGGGACAAAGGACCUGGCUCUUGUGGACCGAAGCCAUGUCAGGGUAUUUCGACAAACAGGUAAGAGGAUGAGAGCCAUGUUGAGUUUCAGAGUCUCUGCAGCUCCUUUGGCUGUCGCCAAGCAAUAUCCCAUGGCCUGAAAUGCAGCCCUACUCCUGUAUUGGUUGAAUUUCCAGGCAAAGAGACCUGCCAUGGUUAGCAACCACAGCAACAAAAUCCAACCCCUCUGCCAAUUCUCUAUUAUGAGACAUCGGAGUGUCUCAGUUGCUCUUCGCAUCGCAUUCUUUGGCCUCAAGGAACCGAUGUUCUGACUCCAGCCUACACUUGCUGUGCUGAGUGGUCUGCUGUAAUUCAUGUAAGUGUCUCUUUGAAGAAGCAGUGUUUCCAACUGCCAUAACUGAGAAAAAAGAUCAAACAGCAAAAAGAGUCAAACAAGCAUGUUUUAAUGCUUUAGGAGAAGGAGCUGGCCUCUUUUGUUAGAACAAGCAUGCUUUAAUUUACCUCAAUGUAUCCGAGGUUUUCUGGAUCAAGCUCUUCCAUAAUCAAUGAAGCGUAUUCUUCUGCCUGCUCUUUCAACUUGGAUAGUUUGUUUGCAGAAGCACUUAGCAUUAUAAGCUGUAAUUACAUGACAGAAACACAUUAAUUGAAGCUUAGUAAGUACUAUACAUCAUGCUACGACACUGUCGAUUAUAAAUUUUAAUUGCAAAUUAUGCAUUAUCUAUGGUUUUUAU